CGCUCGGCAAGUACAGCAUUAAAUCCUUGCGUAAUUAGGCAAUAUGGAAUGAUUAACUUAAUCUUUUCGAGGCAGCUUCAACAUGGCAAUAUUUUCUUAUACUUGUAAACGGAUUUUGCACAUAGAGGUAUAAAAAGAAUAAAAAAUAGUCAGAAUAAAUAAAAGGAAAAAAUAUUGUGAGUCUGCUACAAAACAUGAGUUCAACUGGAUUUGAACCCAAAUGCUUAUCGAGACAGGCUAAACGACAUACCACUAAGCCAUCAGUGGACGACUUGUAAUUCUGGUAAAAUUAAAAACACAAGUACAUUGUUGUGACCUGCUCAUCUCAUGAAGUGAAUCUCAUUUCGGGUAAAAUGAAAUAAAAAUUAUUAUAGACCGACAGAGAAAGGUUCAAAACGGAUAUUGAUGCAGAAAGUUAUGGCACAGGGGAAUUAUAAUGCGCAUUUAUAAAUAAAUGAUGCUUAGCCGUGUCUUAAUAUACUUUCUACUACGCUUAGCCGUUCGCCGGCUUCGUGGAUCGACGUGGAUCGUGU